UAUUACAGGACAAGGUCUAUAAAUUACAUCUUUGAAAAGCAAUAAGAUGUUCAAACAAAAAGCGUUAUACUAUUUUUAACAUGUCAAUAUUUAAGUUUUCGUUUGUGACUAUUCUUCUCAUGGGAGCUACUUUUAAUGUGUUGUGGUUCUCAAAUAAACAAGUUAUGGCUGCAAAUGGUGUUGAUUAUGAUAACUCGGAACUAAAAAGAAGAUUACUCCCACAACUCUCUACCUGUUGGAGAUAUUGCACAUCUGACGAUGAUUGCUCUGAUUGCUGGACUUGCUGCAAAUGUUCUGGGAUUUAUAAUGGUGAUGUGAUACUUGCUGUGCGCGCUUGUUGGUGGUCCUAAAAGGUGCAAAAUGGUGCAUCAGUGUCCUGUUAGAGCUCCUCGUAGAAUUUCACAUUUUACGUAUUCAUCUGUUUUUUUUUUGUUUGCAACAUAUGAUCUGUUUUUCUUUUACGUUCUUUUCCCUAAAGAAAAGUUAUGACUUACUAGGGAAAGAUAUUGAAAUAAGUGUAGUUGCAGAAGAAUAAUUUCUCAAAGAUAUCCCGUGUGAGUUUUCUCUUCAAUAAAACAUGGGCAUAAUUUUACGUUUAAAAGAAUACGUUUGAGUAUAAAUCUUUUUUUUUUAAUUUUAUUGAGGAUGCUUCUUGGACUGUCUUGAAAGUGUUGUAUUUCAUCGGCUUGAACUGUGUAACUUAAUAGGCAAUGUCAUGCGUAUAUUACGAAUCUUACUAUCCUUCA